AUUAUCUUAAAAAAAAAGAUUUUAUUAUCAUUUUACGAUUAUAAAUGGGUAAAGUAAAAAAAAUUCAAGAAUGCAAAAAAAUAAAAGUAAGACGACAAUUAUUCGUAAAACCAAUAGCUAUUGUUAAACCCUAUGUGCCGGAAAAUAAAUAUAAAGCACCUCAAAUAUAUGUACCUCAAGUGGUAGAAACAAGACCACUUGAGGAAUCAGACGAGGAAACGUAUGAAGAUCAAUUGGAAAUCUACGACGAUCUUCCUGAAAUAGACGAUGAACAAGUACGAAUACUUGACAGAAUUGUUAGACGAAUAGAUGUUCAUUUAAUAAAAUUUAAACCUUCCAUUUAAAAUGUAAAAAGAAUUUCUACUAUUGUAACAGCAAAUAUAACAACUUUAACGAACUUCCCAACUAUGUAUUUGAUUACCAUGUGAAUCGUACAUAUACGGAUUUAGUUUAGGUUUUUCUGAAUUGUAUGGUUUAACAACUGCAACAGGUUUUGGUUUAUCAAACUGUUGUAAUGGUUUGUUCUUUGAUUCCAUCUGUAUAAAAUUUAAAUACAUUUCGCCUUUUUUAUAUAUUUUUUUAUAACGCUAGAUUAACUUUAAACAAAAGAAAAUAAUCUUUUUUUUUAACAAAAAUUUAACGGGAUUAAAUAUGUCAUAAUAUUAUUUAUGACGUUAUUUAUGACGUUAUUUUUAUGGAUGGGAACGGGUUGGGAAUGGACGGAGAGCUAUAAUCGGAGAGGGGCAGAUCAUCAUAUACGAAUAUAUUAAUUGUAAUAUUUAAGUCAAUAUCAUUUAUUCAUUAAUAUUAGUUAUAAUUAAAAUAUUAUUAUAGUUAAAAUAUUAUUAUAAUUUUUCAAUCAUAAUAAUAAUAUGCGUUUGUAUUAUUUAACAAUACCAUUAUGAUAAUUAUAAUGUAAUGAAAGAUGUAAAUCCAAUUUGCUUUGGUAAUGGCAAGAGUUCAAUGUUGUAGUUUAUUAAAGAAAUCCACUAGCUGCUUUGGCCUCAAGAAACAGCUGCCACAAAAUAGGCAUAAUAAGAAAUGCGUUCAUAUUAAAUAAUAAACACUGACCUAUCUAUCCAUAAUUAUGGUUAUUGAAAAGUGGAGGUAAGUAAAAUAGGACUAAUUCUAUUAUCAUACUCUACCAUCUAUGCUUACAUUUUUUGAUUGAUAAACACAGUGGGUAGCAUUCAUUUAUACCUUAUGAUUAAAAAAAAAGUUAUAAAUUACUUUUCAGGGUUCAAGCUCAAGCUAAAAAGAAGAACUACAAACAACACAAACGAUGAUGCAUUAAUCACUUCCUACACCACUAAAUCUAUAUGUCUAAUUGUACUUACAUUUCACAAAAGGUUUUGUAAACCAGUGCUGAAAGCUGAUAUUAAUGAGCAGUGGCAGAAACAAGCCUGCAUCGGACAAACCAUGAAUGCACCUCUCUCAGAAGCCUUGACUUUUCCACUCCAAGAGAUAAAUGAUCUUCUGAAAAUCAACCCAAUUGCAAGAUUCUGAGUAGCGAUCAAGAACAGUGCAGUAAGAAAACUAUCCCUAAGCGACGACUAGUCAACCAGACAAGAUGCUGCCAAAAUGGUUAUCAAGUUCAAUUGACAUGGAUAUCCUCAAAAAAUUGCUAGGAGAGGCGUAGAGCAAAGUUCUUUAGAAGACAUUUAAUUUUUAUAUUAAAUGUAAUGAAGUGUUUUUUAUAAUACUUUUAUGUUCUUUUUUACAUUGUUGUUUUAUCGAAUGCUGGUUGAGAAUAUUUGUCGAAUAAAUUUUUUUUAUAUGA